GUAGGUGGCAAGCGUUGUCCGGAAUUAUUGGGCGUAAAGCGCGCGCAGGCGGUCCUUUAAGUCUGAUGUGAAAGCCCACGGCUCAACCGUGGAGGGUCAUUGGAAACUGGGGGACUUGAGUACAGAAGAGGAAAGCGGAAUUCCAAGUGUAGCGGUGAAAUGCGUAGAGAUUUGGAGGAACACCAGUGGCGAAGGCGGCUUUCUGGUCUGUAACUGACGCUGAGGCGCGAAAGCGUAGGGAGCAAACAGGGAUUAGAUACCCUGGUAGUCCACGCCGUAAACGAUGAGUGCUAAGUGUUAGGGGGUUUCCCGCCCCUUAGUGCUGCAGCUAACGCAUUAAGCACUCCGCCUGGGGAGUACGGCCGCAAGGCUG
rnacentral:rRNA from 1 species